AAGUGUCAAAGGUUUAGCAGAGACUUGCCAUACUACGGAAGAUGCAAUCGAAAAGGAAAGUCAGUUGUGCGUGUUUUGACAUGGAGAGAAAAGCUUGAACAGCACAAGGCAGCUCCAAUUUAUUCUGCUUUCUCGAGGAAGCAACCCCAAUUUCCAAGAACUACAGCAGGGAAGUGGUGAGAUACUAAACUUCCUGAACAACCUGGCACACUACAAUUUUUACAUCCAACAAAUAUGCUUUGGUAGGUUAUGGAGCGUUUUUCAAAGUUUGAAGAAUUUAGGGCUGACUUUUGAUAUGUGCAUACUGUAUCAAAUCUAAAGGUUGUUCCAGAACUAUGAUAAAUCAUGUUGCACAGAGCACCAGAUUUUGCUUCUGGACUCCAAGCACAACACUGAAAAGGUUGUCAUAGAACUGCAAUCCAUUUUUGAGGUCUGGUUUUAUUUCGGAACAAGUCAUAUACAAGGUUCUAAAAGGUGUCUUUCUGCGGCCUGCUCUGUUUCUUUUAAGUGGUUUGAAUCUGAUGCCUCAAAUCUGAAUUGAAUCCCUAUUAUUAAUUAGUUUGUUAGUUGUUAGUCUGAAAAGUAUUCUGUGUUAGUUGUUUAGCUGAUUCCCUGCAUCUAUCUUUGAUUGCCUGAAUGUAUAGGUUAGCAGAUUGCCUGAAUGCCUACUGUAGUGGUAAUAUUGUUUUUCACUUGUUAGUUGCUCACUGAACUCUGAAUGACUGAAUGUAGGAUGUCGACUAUAUAGCAUGAAUCUCCUAAAAUCGAAGGAGCAAAUAUCCUGAAAAGAAAUUCAGGUGACGUGGGAUGGGAAUAUGGGGUUCUUGCUGAUGCUUAG
rnacentral:lncRNA from 1 species